UACGUAGGGUGCAAGCGUUAAUCGGAAUUACUGGGCGUAAAGCGAGCGCAGGCGGUUUUGUAAGUCAGAUGUGAAAGCCCCGGGCUCAACCUGGGAACUGCGUUUGAAACUACAAGGCUAGAGUAUGGGAGAGGGAGGUAGAAUUCCACGUGUAGCAGUGAAAUGCGUAGAGAUGUGGAGGAAUACCAAUGGCGAAGGCAGCCUCCUGGCCUAAUACUGACGCUCAUGCU
rnacentral:rRNA from 1 species